rnacentral:lncRNA from 1 species
AGAGAGAGAGAGAGAAAGACAGAGAGCGAGAGAGAGAGAGAGAGAGAGAGAGAGAGAGAGAGAGAGAGAGAGAGAAACAGAGAGCGAGAGUAAAAAGUAAAAACAAGCAGGUUCUCAUGACAAUGAAAGAAUGAGGAAUUCCUCUGACCUAUGAUUUCAACACUCAUAUUCCUCCUAAUUUCAACUCGUUACCGGCUAAACACAAUCCAUUAAGAUUGACAGACAGACAAAAGAGAACGAGAGAGAAAAAAAAGAAAGAGAGAGCGAGAGAGAAUGUCAGAUCCACUGGAUAUGUCAGUGUGUAGGGGCUAAAACCUUUAUCUAUGCACACACAUGUAGGCCUGAAUGUACACACACACACAGGUGACAACAGACAGUAAAGAAGUUGACAACAGACAGUAAAGAAGUUGACAAAAGACAGUAAAGAAGGUGACAACAGACAGUAAAGAAGAAGUUGACAACAGACAGUUAAAUAAGAAGGUGACAACAGACAGUAAAGAAGUUGACAACAGGCAGUAAAGAAGUUGACAACAGACAGUAAAAUAAGGUGACAACAGACAGUAAAGAAGAAGGUGACAACAGACAGUAAAGAAGAAUCUGACAACAGACAGUAAAGAAGUUGACAACAGACAGUAAAGAAGAAGGUGACAACAGACAGUAAAGAAGAAGCUGACAACAGACAGUAAAGAAGCUGACAACAGGCAGUAAAAGAAGACGGUGACAACAGACAGUAAAGAAGAAGCUGCCAACAGACAGUAAAGAAGUUGACAACAGACAGUAAAGAAGAAGCUGACAACAGACAGUAAAGAAGUUGACAACAGACAGUAAAGAAGAAGGUGACAACAGACAGUAAAGAAGUUGACAACAGACAGUAAAAGAAGAAGCUGACAACAGACAGUAAAGAAGAAGGUGACAACAGACAGUAAAGAAGAAGGUGACAACAGACAGUAAAGAAGGUGACAACAGACAGUAAAGAAGAAGCUGACAACAGACAGUAAAGAAGUUGACAACAGACAGUAAAGAAGAAGGUGACAACAGACAGUAAAAGAAGAAGUUGACAACAGACAGUAAAGAAGGUGACAACAGACAGUAAAGAAGGUGACAACAGACAGUAAAGAAGAAGCUGACAACAGACAGUAAAGAAGUUGACAACAGACAGUAAAGAAGAAGGUGACAACAGACAGUAAAGAAGGUGACAGACAGUAAAGAAGGUGACAACAGACUGUAAAAUAAGGUGACAACAGACAGUAAAAGAAGAAGGUGACAGACAGUAAAAGAAGAAGGUGACAACAGACAGUAAAAUAAGGUGACAACAGACAGUAAAGAAGAGAAAAGGUCAUAUAAGGCAGCAC